GCCUAAUACAUGCAAGUCGAGCGCGGGAAGCAGACGGAUCCCUUCGGGGUGAAGUUUGUGGAACGAGCGGCGGACGGGUGAGUAACACGUGGGCAACCUGCCUGUAAGACUGGGAUAACCCCGGGAAACCGGGGCUAAUACCGGAUAACACUUUUUAGCACAUGUUGAGAAGUUGAAAGGCGGCUUUUAGCUGUCACUUACAGAUGGGCCCGCGGCGCAUUAGUUAGUUGGUAGGGUAACGGCCUACCAAGGCGACGAUGCGUAGCCGACCUGAGAGGGUGAUCGGCCACACUGGGACUGAGACACGGCCCAGACUCCUACGGGAGGCAGCAGUAGGGAAUCAUCCGCAAUGGACGAAAGUCUGACGGUGCAACGCCGCGUGAGUGAUGAAGGUUUUCGGAUCGUAAAACUCUGUUGUUAGGGAAGAACAAGUACCGUUUGAAUAAGGCGGUACCUUGACGGUACCUAACCAGAAAGCCCCGGCUAACUACGUGCCAGCAGCCGCGGUAAUACGUAGGGGGCAAGCGUUGUCCGGAAUUAUUGGGCGUAAAGCGCUCGCAGGCGGUCUUUUAAGUCUGAUGUGAAAGCCCACGGCUCAACCGUGGAGGGUCAUUGGAAACUGGAGGACUUGAGUGCAGAAGAGGAGAGUGGAAUUCCACGUGUAGCGGUGAAAUGCGUAGAGAUGUGGAGGAACACCAGUGGCGAAGGCGACUCUCUGGUCUGUAACUGACGCUGAGGAGCGAAAGCGUGGGGGAGCGAACAGGAUUAGAUACCCUGGUAGUCCACGCCGUAAACGAUGAGUGCUAGGUGUUAGGGGGUUUCCGCCCCUUAGUGCUGAAGUUAACGCAUUAAGCACUCCGCCUGGGGAGUACGGCCGCAAGGCUGAAACUCAAAGAAUUGACGGGGGCCCGCACAAGCGGUGGAGCAUGUGGUUUAAUUCGAAGCAACGCGAAGAACCUUACCAGGUCUUGACAUCCUCUGCAAGCGGUAGAGAUACCGUGUUCCCUUCGGG
rnacentral:rRNA from 1 species